rnacentral:rRNA from 1 species
UGUCUUACGUAUGUACUUGUUAAGCCUUUAAGAGAAAAGUUUACAACUUAAGGAAUUAUAACAAAGAAGUAACACAUAAUAAGUUUACCUUAUUUAGUGUGUAUCAAUCGAGUUUCUGACCUAUCAGCUUUUGAUGUUAGGGUAUUGGCCUAACAUGGCUAUGACGGGUAACGGGGAAUUAGAGUUCGAUUCCGGAGAGGGAGCCUGAGAAAUAGCUACCACAUCUAAGGAAGGCAGCAGGCGCGUAAAUUACCCAAUUCUAAAGAAGAGAGGUAGUGACAAGAAAUAACAAUACAAGGCCAUUUCAUGGUUUUGUAAUUGGAAUGAUGGGAAUUUAAAACCUUCCCAAAAUUCAAUUGGAGGGCAAGUCUGGUGCCAGCAGCCGCGGUAAUUCCAGCUCCAAUAGCGUAUAUUAAAAUUGUUGCAGUUAAAACGCUCGUAGUUGAAUUUCAAAGAAUCAAUAUUUUAAGUAAUGCUUUUGGUUUAAGAUGCUUAGGCAAUACAACGUAUCUGCUCUUUGCAUUCCUUAUCCAAAAUGUGUUCUUAUUAUAAAAAGGAUUCUUUUUAAAAUCUCCUUUACUUUCUUGUACAGGAGAUUUUGUUACUUUGAGUAAAUUAGAGUGUUCAAAGCAAACAGUUAAAGCAUUUUACUGCGUUUGAAUACUACAGCAUGGAAUAACAAAAUUGAACAAGUCAAAAUUCUGUUCCUUUUUCUUAUUUUGGCU